UUCAAACUGACGAGUCUCAAAUGGGACGAAACGCGCGUCAA
rfam:Schistosoma haematobium scaffold579_6, whole genome shotgun sequence.